rnacentral:rRNA from 1 species
GUGAGGAAUAUUGCGCAAUGGGCGAAAGCCUGACGCAGCGACGCCGCGUGGAGGAUGAAGGCCUUCGGGUCGUAAACUCCUGUCGAGGGGGAAGAAAUGACACUUCGUCAAUAGCGAGGAGUCUUGACGGUACCCCUGGAGGAAGCCCCGGCUAACUCCGUGCCAGCAGCCGCGGUAAUACGGAGGGGGCCAGCGUUGCUCGGAAUCACUGGGCGUAAAGGGCUCGUAGGCGGUCUGAUAAGUCCUGUGUGAAAUCCCUUGGCUUAACCAAGGAAUUGCGCCGGAUACUGUCGGACUGGAGGCCGGGAGAGGGAAGCGGAAUUCCCAGUGUAGCGGUGAAAUGCGUAGAUAUUGGGAGGAACACCGGUGGCGAAGGCGGCUUCCUGGACCGGUUCUGACGCUGAGGAGCGAAAGCUAGGGUAGCAAACAGGAUUAGAAACCCCAGUAGUCC